rnacentral:rRNA from 1 species
AGAGUUUGAUCCUGGCUCAGGACGAACGCUGGCGGCGUGCCUAACACAUGCAAGUCGAGCGGGGAGAGAUUUUCGGAUUUCUCUUUAGCGGCGGACGGGUGAGUAACACGUGGGUAACCUGCCUCAAAGUGGGGGAUAGCCUUCCGAAAGGAAGAUUAAUACCGCAUAAUAUCAGAGCGCUGCAUGGYGCWGUGAUUAAAGGAGCAAUCCGCUUUGAGAUGGACCCGCGGCGCAUUAGCUAGUUGGUGAGGUAACGGCCCACCAAGGCGACGAUGCGUAGCCGACCUGAGAGGGUGAUCGGCCACAUUGGAACUGAGACACGGUCCAGACUCCUACGGGAGGCAGCAGUGGGGAAUAUUGCACAAUGGGGGAAACCCUGAUGCAGCAACGCCGCGUGAGUGAUGAAGGCCUUCGGGUCGUAAAGCUCUUUGAUCAGGGACGAUAAUGACGGUACCUGAAAAACAAGCCACGGCUAACUACGUGCCAGCAGCCGCGGUAAUACGUAGGUGGCGAGCGUUGUCCGGAUUUACUGGGCGUAAAGAAUGCGUAGGUGGAUAUUUAAGUGGGAUGUGAAAUCCCCGGGCUCAACCCGGGAACUGCAUACCAAACUGGAUAUCUGGAGUGCANGAGAGGAAAGC